GAUGAAGAACGCAGUGAAAUGCGAUAAGUAAUGUGAAUUGCAGAAUUCAGUGAAUCAUCGAAUCUUUGAACGCACAUUGCGCCCGCCAGUAUUCUGGCGGGCAUGCCUGUUCGAGCGUCAUUUCAACCAUCAAGCCUCAGGCUUGUGUUGGAGCCCUGCGGCUGCCGCAGCCUCCCAAAACCAGUGGCGGGCUCGCUAUCACACCGAGUGCAGUAGUUUACUCUUCGCUCAGGGCGUGUGGCGGGUGCUAGCCGUGAAACCCCCAACUUCUCAAGGUUGACCUCGGAUCAGGUAGGAAUACCCGCUGAACUUAAGCAUAUCAAUAAGCGGAGGA
rnacentral:misc_RNA from 1 species